rnacentral:rRNA from 1 species
CACGUAGGGCGCAAGCGUUAUCCGGAAUUAUUGGGCGUAAAGAGCUCGUAGGCGGUCUGGCGCGUCUGCUGUGAAAACUCAGGGCUUAACCCUGAGCUUGCAGUGGGUACGGGCAGACUAGAGUGCGGUAGGGGAGACUGGAAUUCCUGGUGUAGCGGUGAAAUGCGCAGAUAUCAGGAGGAACACCGGUGGCGAAGGCGGGUCUCUGGGCCGUAACUGACGCUGAGGAGCGAAAGCAUGGGGAGCGAACAGG